rnacentral:rRNA from 1 species
UUAUGGAGAGUUUGAUCCUGGCUCAGGAUGAACGCUGGCGGCGUGCCUAAUACAUGCAAGUCGAACGCGAGAGGAGGGAGCUUGCUCCCUCUGAUCGAGUGGCGGACGGGUGAGUAACACGUAGGCAACCUGCCCAUCAGUCCGGGAUAACCGCGGGAAACCGUGGCUAAUACCGGAUGAUCCUCUCCACCGCGGGGUGGGGAGUUGAAAGACGGUUUCGGCUGUCGCUGAUGGAUGGGCCUGCGGCGCAUUAGCUGGUUGGCGGGGUAACGGCCCACCAAGGCAACGAUGCGUAGCCGACCUGAGAGGGUGAUCGGCCACACUGGGACUGAGACACGGCCCAGACUCCUACGGGAGGCAGCAGUAGGGAAUCUUCCGCAAUGGACGCAAGUCUGACGGAGCAACGCCGCGUGAGUGAAGAAGGGUUUCGGCUCGUAAAACUCUGUUGUUAAGGAAGAACGACAGGUAGAGUAACUGCUACCUGUGUGACGGUACUUAACCAGAAAGCCACGGCUAACUACGUGCCAGCAGCCGCGGUAAUACGUAGGUGGCAAGCGUUAUCCGGAAUUAUUGGGCGUAAAGCGCGCGUAGGCGGUCUUUUAAGUCUGAUGUGAAAGCCCCCGGCUCAACCGGGGAGGGUCAUUGGAAACUGGGAGACUUGAGUGCAGAAGAGGAGAGUGGAAUUCCAUGUGUAGCGGUGAAAUGCGCAGAG